GAUGAACGCUGACAGAAUGCUUAACACAUGCAAGUCUUUGGCGAAGCUGUGCUCGCACAGCCUAGCCAAGGCGGACGGGUGAGUAACGCGUAAGGAACUUGCCCUGCAGUCAGGGAUAACAGACGGAAACGACUGAUAAGACCUGGUAAAGUCAGGCGGACUCAUGUCCAGCCUGAUGAAAAGAGAUGCUGCAGGAGAGCCUUGCGUCCUAUUAGCUUGUUGGUGGGGUAACGGCCCACCAAGGCGAUGAUAGGUAGCCGGCCUGAGAGGGUGGACGGCCACAAGGGGACUGAGAUACGGCCCUUACUCCUACGGGAGGCAGCAGUGGGGAAUAUUGGACAAUGGGGGCAACCCUGAUCCAGCAAUUCUGUGUGCACGAUGAAGGUUUUCGGAUUGUAAAGUGCUUUCAGCAGGGAAGAAAAAAAUGACGGUACCUGCAGAAGAAGCGACGGCUAAAUACGU
rnacentral:rRNA from 1 species